AUACGGAGGGUGCGAGCGUUGUUCGGAAUCACGGGGCGUAAAGGGCGCGCAGGCGGUCUGUCAAGUCAGAUGUGAAAGCCCACGGCUCAACCGUGGACGUGCAUCUGAAACUGGCAGACUCGAGUACCGGAGGGGAAAGUGGAAUUCCCGGUGUAGAGGUGAAAUUCGUAGAUAUCGGGAGGAAUACCGGAGGCGAAGGCGACUUUCUGGACGGAUACUGACGCUGAGGCGCGAAAGCGUGGGGAGCGAACAGGAUUAGAAACCCUAGUAGUCC
rnacentral:rRNA from 1 species